rnacentral:lncRNA from 10 species
UCUUACAUUACUGCAUGAUAGACAUGGUAGGCUUAGGGACAGGUCCCCAUUAGGAAAUCACUAUGUCUUCAGGCAAGUUUUGCCCUUGAGUUGAAGAGGGAUGAAAACAAAGUAAAGUGGUUGUCACAAACUGUUUUGAUCUUUAAACUUAUUUGACUGUGGCACAGCAAAGCCUCAGCUUCUGCAGCCAUGUUAGAGACAUCGCUGCAGAAAAUAGUCUCACUUUAGAAUAUGCUUUCACCCUUCAAUGUUAAUAACUGCUCCUCAGCAAGACCUGUGAUUUCCUUCUCUCUUCCUCUGAUAGCCAGUCCCUUGCUCCUCAAAUCAUGGACCAGGGGCCAUCAUCAGCAUGGGCUCCACCCAGGGGCUGAUUUGACUUGCAUGGUCUCAGGCCUCCCCCAGAUCUGCAGCACCAGGGUGGGAAUUCUGAAAGGAUUUCAACUCUAGGGACCGCUGGUUCAGAGAACUCUGAUCUUGCAAUAGAGUCCGUACGCACUUAGCACCUGAAAUGUUCCCUAGUCCACAUCUCGAGUUUGGAGCAGCAAGAAUCUUCAUGGUGAAAGCUGCCAUGACAUUCUUCUGCUUGCCUGGCAAACUAAGGAGACUCUUGGCCAUAACCUUUUAUAAAGUCUUAGCUCGUCUUAUCUAAAUCCUUCUAUUAUCAAAGUUAAACUCUUCCAGCUCCCUGAUCCUUUCCUAUUAUUCUCUGAAAUGUCCAUCUCUUUUCUGCCCAACCCACUCAGCCAUGUUCUUAUGGGCCCAAGAAGGUAAGAAAGAAAGAUACUGGGAAGGGAUAGAUGUGCAAAUGAUGAAUGAGCUUUCGUUUGGAUUUAAAAGCCUGUGUCAUUAAGGAAAGGGUGGAUUUCUGGAAUCAAAGAGGGUGAGUGUUCUGUGCAUUCUCCCCAAUCAGCUGCGAUCUCUACAUCAGCAACCGGCCUUGUCACAUUGUGUUUGAAUAUGUGUGUGUUCUUCUUUCAAACAUGGCUGGGCCUUAGGGUUGUUUUUUUUUUUGGUUGUUUGUUUUUUGCUUCUAUUUUUGCUUUAUUUUGCAUUUCCCCAUAAAUGUAUGUAAUUAAAAAAUAGAAUCCACUUGUUGAGAGUAAAGUAGUCAUCUCAUUCCACACUUCCUCCCACCACGGCA